rnacentral:rRNA from 1 species
CAAUAGCGGAUAUUAAAGUUGUUGCAGUUAAAAAGCUCGUAGUUGGAUUUCGGGGCAGCCUGGCUGGUCCGCCGCAAGGCGAGUACUGGUCAGCCGCCCUUCCUCUCGAAAGCCCCGACUGCUCUUUAUUGCAGUGGUCGGGUAGUUCGGGACGUUUACUUUGAAAAAAUUAGAGUGUUCAAGGCAGGCCUACGCCUGAAUACAUUAGCAUGGAAUAAUGGAAGAGGACCUCGGUCCUAUUUUGUUGGUUUCCAGGACCGAAGUAAUGAUUAAGAGGGACAGUUGGGGGCAUUCGUAUUUAAUUGUCAGAGGUGAAAUUCUCGGAUUUAUGAAAGACGAACAACUGCGAAAGCAUUUGCCAAGGAUGUCUUCAUUAA